AAAAUCUUCUUCCCUUGGCGGUUUUUAACCAGAAAGCCAGGGGUAAAUUACCUGCCAGCAGCCGCGGUAAUACGUAGGUGGCAAGCGUUUUCCGGAUUUUAUUGGGGGUUAAAGCGAGCGCCGGCGGUUUUUUUAAGUUUGAAGGGAAAGCCCCCGGCUCAACCGGGGAGGGUCAUUGGAAAACUGGGAGACUUGAGUGCAGAAGAGGAGAGUGGAAUUCCAUGGGUAGCGGUGAAAUGCGUAGAUAUAUGGAGGAACACCAGUGGGGAAGGGGGCUCUUUGGUCUGUAACUGACGCUGAGGCUCGAAAGCGUGGGGAGCGAACAGGAUUAGAUACCCUGGUAGUCCACGCCGUAAACGAUGAGUGCUAAGUGUUGGAGGGUUUCCGCCCUUCAGUGGUGCAGCAAACGCAUUAAGCACUCCGCCUGGGGAGUAGGACCGCAAGGUUGAAACUCAAAGGAAUUGACGGGGGCCCGCACAAGCGGUGGAGCAUGUGGUUUAAUUUGAAGCAACGGGAAGAACCUUACCAGGUCUUGACAUCCUUUGACCACUCUAGAGAUAGAGUUUCCCCUUCGGGGGCAAAGUGACAGGUGGUGCAUGGUU
rnacentral:rRNA from 1 species